GUCCAGAGAUCCCGCCACCUCAGCUGUGCACUGUCCCCUCCUCUGGCUCCCACUGGCCAGUCAAAUGCCUGCACCAUGCGGGUUGUGGGGGGUGGCACCUGCAGCCCUCUGAAAAUCUGGAUAGUUAUUUUGGUGCCUAAAUGGGAGCUAAAAGAAAAGGAGGACUUGUGGCACCUUAGAGACUAACACAUUUAUUAGAGCAUAAGCUUUCGUGAGCUACAGCUCACUUCAUCGGAUGCUUUGGAAAAUCUGGUCCUGAGUAUUGUAGUAAUUGUGUUGCAGUAAAGCCUAGGAGCCCCAAGCAUGGAUCAGGGCCCCCUUGUGCCAAGUGCUGUACAAACAUAGAACAAAAAGACACACCCCGCCCCACACAGCUGGCAAUGUAAAGCCUUGUCUAUGCUGCAGUGAUACAGCUGUAGAGCUUCAGUGUAGACACCACCUAUGCCAAAGGGGGGGUUCUGUCGGCAUAGGUAAUCCACCUUCCUGAGAGGCAGUAGCUAGGUCAACGGAAACAUUUUUCUGUUGACACAGCACUGUCUAUACUGAGGUUAGGUUGGCUUAAUGAUGACGCUCAGGGAUGUGGGUUUUUCAUACCCCUGAGCAAUAUAGUUAAGCUAACUUAAUUUUGUAGUGUAGACCAGGCCUAAGUAAUUUACGCAAGAGGUUGCAUGGGAAAUCUGUGACAGAGUUGGAAAUAAAACCUAGAUCUACAGAUUCCUUAGACAGGAAGGAACAUCUUGUGUCUGGUGUUGCAAGAACUCUACUUCUCUCUUAACUGAAGCUGAGAAUAUUGUUUUAAGAAAUCUCUAACGCUUUGCCAGUAUUAAAUUUUAUAGUGAAAAAUCCUGGGUGAGGUGUGGGUAUUUAAGCUACUGCUGCUGAAAUUCCUUUUCCAAAUUACAGGUGAUGUCUUACUUUUUUGAGGGUGUCUCUGAUUUCUUUUUGAUUGAUGAAUCUGUUUGUCUAGCUAGGCAGUUUCUCAGAGGGCUGUUGCAAUCAAUAGUCUAUGCUGCCAACAUCUGCUCUUAGGUUUUCAGCUAUUCUGAGCAAUGAAAACAAUCUGAGUCAACCUCCCAUUCUUAAAAGUAAAUGGUCACAUAUAUAGAAUGAUGGACUAUUUAUUGAUACUAAUAACAAAAACUAAGAACUUGUUCACGUGGGGAAAUUUACCGAUAUAAUUAUACCACUGUAGUUAUACGCUUCCAAUGUGACAUAAGCUAAAUCACAAAAAUGCACUUUUAUUCUGUAAUAAGUGUCCACACAGGGAGCUAUUCUGAUAUAGUAAUGCGGAAAAAAUUUCCUCUUGUAGACAAGCCCUAAGAGACAUGGAGCAGAUAUCAAAAUAAAGAGAUGCAGGAACAUUACAACAUACAGACUAUAGAUAGGAAAACGUGAAAGCUGACAACACGGGGAUGCAUAAAAUGGAAACUUCCAGUCUUUUAAGAGAGUUCUAUAUAUUCAUGUGGCCUAGACCCUGCCCCCUGAGUCCCCAGCAAUCACAUUUAUCUUUUUUAUAUAUAGCUUUUUCCCUCUCCCGGUUGCUGUGAAAGAUCCACACAUAGUCAGAAUCAUUUUCCCCUCUACAGAAGAAACCAUGGCACUGUCGGCAUCCAAAGUGUACAAAAUAAAUUGAAAAAAGGA